UGGGGAANAUUGGACAAUGGACCAAGAGUCUGAUCCAGCGAUUCUGUGUGCACGAUGAAGUUUUUCGGAAUGUAAAGUGCUUUCAGUUGGGAAGAAAAAAAUGACGGUACCAACAGAAGAAGUGACGGCUAAAUACGUGCCAGCAGCCGCGGUAAUACGUAUGUCACAAGCGUUAUCCGGAUUUAUUGGGCGUAAAGCGCGUCUAGGUGGUUAUGUAAGUCUGAUGUGAAAAUGCAGGGCUCAACUCUGUAUUGCGUUGGAAACUGUGUAACUAGAGUACUGGAGAGGUAAGCGGAACUACAAGUGUAGAGGUGAAAUUCGUAGAUAUUUGUAGGAAUGCCGAUGGGGAAGCCAGCUUACUGGACAGAUACUGACGCUGAAGCGCGAAAGCGUGGGUAGCAAACAGGAUUAGAUACCCUGGUAGUCCACGCCGUAAACGAUGAUUACUAGGUGUUGGGGGUCGAACCUCAGCGCCCAAGCAAACGCGAUAAGUAAUCCGCCUGGGGAGUACGUACGCNAAGUAUG
rnacentral:rRNA from 1 species